GAGUUUGAUCAUGGCUCAGAUUGAACGCUGGCGGCAGGCCUAACACAUGCAAGUCGAGCGGAUGAAGGGAGCUUGCUCCUGGAUUCAGCGGUGGACGGGUGAGUAAUGCCUAGGAAUCUGCCUGGUAGUGGGGGAUAACGUCCGGAAACGGGCGCUAAUGCCGCAUACGUCCUGAGGGAGAAAGUGGGGGAUCUUCGGACCUCACGCUAUCAGAUGAGCCUAGGUCGGAUUAGCUAGUUGGUGGGGUAAAGGCCUACCAAGGCGACGAUCCGUAACUGGUCUGAGAGGAUGAUCAGUCACACUGGAACUGAGACACGGUCCAGACUCCUACGGGAGGCAGCAGUGGGGAAUAUUGGACAAUGGGCGAAAGCCUGAUCCAGCCAUGCCGCGUGUGUGAAGAAGGUCUUCGGAUUGUAAAGCACUUUAAGUUGGGAGGAAGGGCAGUAAGUUAAUACCUUGCUGUUUUGACGUUACCAACAGAAUAAGCACCGGCUAACUUCGUGCCAGCAGCCG
rnacentral:rRNA from 1 species